CCCUUGUGAAAUCGGACGGCUUAACCGUUCGGCUUGCAGGGGAUACUGUUGGUCUUGGGGCCGGUAGGCGCCGAGGGUACUCCGGGGGUAGCGGUGAAAUGCUAUAAUCCCUGGGGGACCGCCAGUGGCGAAAGCGCUCGGCGAAACCGGACCCGACGGUGAGGGACGAAGGCCAGGGGCGCAAACCGGAUUAGAUACCCGGGUAGUCCUGGCUGCAAAGUAUGUGGGUUAGGUGCCGGACGUUCCUCGAGAGCGGUCGGUGCCGAAGGUAAGCCGUUAAGCCCACCGCCUGGGAAGUACGGCCGCAAGGCUGAAACUUAAAGAAAUUGGCGGGGGAGCACCACAAGGGGUGGAGCCUGCGGUUUAAUUGGAUUCAACGCCGGACAUUUCACCGGGGGCGACGGCAGAAUGAAGGCCAAGUCGACGACUUUGCCGGACUCGCCGAGAGGUGGUGCAUGGCCGCCGUCAGCUCGUAUCGUGAGGCGUCCUGUCAAGUCAGGUAACGAGCGAGACCCUCACCCUUAGUUGCCAGCGGAUUCCUUACGGAAUGCCGGGAACUCUAGGGGGACCGCUACCGAUAAGGCAGAGGAAGGAGAGGGCGACGGUAGGUCCGUAUGCCCCGAAUCCCCCGGGCAACACGCGGGCUACAAUGCGCAGGACAGAGGGCUGCGACCCCGAAAGGGGAAGCCGAUCCCUAAACCUGUGCCUAGUUCGGAUCGAGGGCUGAAACUCGCCCUCGUGAAGCUGGAAUCCCUAGUAACUGCGUGUCNCUNUCGCGCGGUG
rnacentral:rRNA from 1 species